AUAACUCUCACGGUCAAGGAUCCUCUCACGUCGCCCCUCCAGGGGCGGCUCGGGAGGCGACGACCCGGCCGCCCCUCUCCCCCACCUCCCUUCUCCGCCUCACCGUCGCCUAAGCGGCUGCCGGCAAAGCCGCGCGGCCGCAACGACGGCGACGGCGGGGCUCUCCUCGUCUUCUUGGAGCUGCCCAGAGCGGCAACGGCGGUGACCGCCAGAUCCGCGCCGUUCCGGCCGGAUCUGGUGGAGUGGUUGGCGGCGGGGACGGGCGAUGGUGGUGGUCGAGGUGAGUUGCGGGUGGAGUUGUGGGUGAUGGCGGCGGGGAUGGCGACAGCAAUAGGGCAGCGGUUGUGGAGGCCGCGGAUCCAACGGUGGCCGGCGGUGGGCAGCGCAUGCAGGCAUCCUGCGGCUGCCACUGGCGUUCUCCGGCGCUCCUCUUGGUGUCGGCCAGCGUUGGUGGUGAGGAGGGCGGCCGGAUCUGGCUCCUCUUGCCCAGAUCCGCUGCGUCCUCGGGUGGGGACGGGGUGGAUUGGAGUGAAUAUUGGGGUGGAUCUCGUCUGUGCAGGUGGUGUGAAUAUUGCAGGUACUCUCGGUGUGCAGGUAACAUUUGGUGGCUCCCGCCUUGGAUGCUAUGGUUGAUGGGUGCUCC
rnacentral:lncRNA from 1 species